GACUCUCUGUGGCGCAAUGGAUAGCGCGUUGGACUUCUAAUUCAAAGGUUGUGGGUUCGAGUCCCACCAGAGUUG